rnacentral:pre_miRNA from 1 species
UAUGUAUUUCCUCCGUUCUAAAUUACUUGUCGCAAAAAUGGAUGUAUCUAAAACUAAAAUACAUCUAGAUAUAUCCAUACUUGCGACAAGUAAUUCGGAACAGAGGGAGUAGUCU